ACCUCGGAGACCCUUGUAGCCUUGCUGCAGCAAGUCUCCUUCUCACUGCCACUCUUUGAGGGCUUCAUUGUGAGUCUUUGCCAAGCUGUGUGGAUUGUGCUGAAAGUAGACACCAUGUGUGCAGAAGAUAAGAUUCUCAGCGAGGCUGGGAACCUCUUCAGUCUGGGCCAGGCCUUGCCAGCUGAGCUCUAGGCUUGGAAAACACAAGGACCCUCAGUGCCCAGCCAGAGGAGGAGAAGGAGGGUGACGUGUCGACAGAGGAUGCAGCCAGCAGGGUCCUCCAGCAGCAUCUCCCGGGCAGAGACGAGGUCACCAGCUCUCCAGGAUUGGCUUCAGGUCUCCAGGCAUUAAAGACUAAUUAAAGAUUAUGUCGUGUGAUGAAACCUCUGGGAAUAUGUCCAACCAGAAUUAGCAAACUACCUCCAGCAGCUGUCCAACAAUGUCCCACUGACUGCUUAGGUCACCACUGAAAACUCCACUGCCCAAAGGGUCAGGUAGACAAGAAGCCUCAUCUCCCAUUGAAAGCCUCACACAUUUUUUAAAUUCUUGGUCUUAGUUGCCUGGCUUGGCAAACCCACCCAGCAGCUCUUCAAUACCCAGCUGACUGUGCCAGCUACAGGCUCCUGCCUGGAGUAAACAGUAGUAAUUGGAUCUACUCUACCUGUUGGGAGAAGAGGCUGUGCAGGCAUAGCUCUGAUCCAGCUGUAGAGACAGACUUCUACAAACAGACUGCAUGGGGGAUGCAGAAAAAAGACAGGGACCAGCAGCAGUGCCACAUGAAAGCCCUGGAGUUAUGGCAGGCCUAUCAGAAGGCUAGGGAAGUCCACAAUAGAUCUGGUGCAGAGCUGCAAACCUGCCAUUUUUACAAAGAGCUGCAUGACAUCCACAGCAGAGACACCCCCACCUCUUCCAAUACCACCAUAUACACUUCAGAAGAGUCUGAGGACAGGCAAGGGGGCGACCCAGCUCCACAGCAAGCCAAGAUCUGUUUUUGACUCCACCACAGUCCCACCAAUCAAGCAUGGGCAGACCUGAUGGAGGGGGGCAGGAAUCUCUGGUACAUAUGCAGUUUGCUUUGAAAUUAAGCGAUGGCACUCCCAAAGUAGCAGAACGCAUCUUUUGAUUUACUCAUUUUCACUUGUGUUAGAAGAGAUAGUGGAACAACCAAGAGAGUUGCUAUCUGCCUUUCAUGACCCUCUAGAAAUAGGCGGGGUAGCCACGAAGAGCAGUUUGUUUAUGUGAACCAGGUUGGCGUGGGAAUCCUCUGUAGAGAUCUUGAUGAAACUUUCAUGCAAGUACUCUGCAAUCCUCUGCCAAAGGUUUCUGAGAAGGGUUGCCAUAUUUCUUCUACCCUAGUAGGACACUUCCCCACACUACUUAGUGAUUAAUUCAGCUGGCAUCAUUGCAGGAUAUAGCAGCAUAUAGGCCGGGGCGGCAUCAGGUAGCAUUACACUCAGGAAAUAAAGGAAAUAAAAAUAGCUGACAAGAAAAUUCCUCCUCUCUUUUGCUGUUCUUGGGGCCAGAGUUAAAAAACUGAAGCAGAGCUCCCAAGGGUCAACCUAAGGUAGCCAUAAAAGCCAUUCAGAGCUGACAGAUUACAACAAUCUUGUCAUCUUUUGAAAGCAUAGAC